rnacentral:lncRNA from 1 species
AUGAUCCUGAGGGAGGGCUCUUCCCCUUGUCAAACCCGCACCAAGCUCGCUUCUCCCAGGACGGACAGACGCCCAGAUCCCAGUGCUGGAAGGCAACGGCGGCUGCUCUGGGCAGGGGAGGGGAUAGGAGGAGGAAGGGGAGGGGGCCAGCGGAGGAGGAGAAAAGGGAGGAGAUAUCGCACCCCCCCCUCCAGUCCUGGAGAACCCCAGCUCCUCAGGCCAGGCCUGGGAAGGGGAAGUACCGUCCCCCACAACCCCACCCCCAAUCUGUUCUUCAGAGUCAAUACAGAAACAAGGUACACGAGGGUCGCCUUGGUGGGUGUGGGCAGCAGCUCCAGCCCCCGUAGGGAUCUGGGACCUGGCCCUGUGGCUGGCAGAGGCUGCUAACAUCGGGAGAACCAUCUGCCUUAUCUGUGGGACCAAGAGAGAAUGGAGGUGGUGUAGGGGAAAGAGAACCACACCUAUGAGAUCCCCUAAGCAGUUGGCAAGACUGGACGGGGGCAGUGCUCAAAUGCAAAAGCUAUAUCCUCAUUCCAGAACAUGAAAGCAAAUACAUCCCCUAAAGUGUCCCUGAACCCUAGGUUUCCCUCUUCUUUCACAGUCAAUUGACAUGCAGGUUGCAGGAAGGAUGGGAUUUCUGCCAAGGUUCACUUCUUGAAAGUAUUCUUUCAAAGGAGCCUCUCAUUGGUGGUCCUAGGCUUGGAAAAAGAUACCAUCCCUCAGUGAUAACACUGAUGUCCCUGACAACCAGGCAACAGGUUAAGUUUUGGGUUGUAUUUCUGACACACGGAUGAGCCACACUGACCCAUGCACACUCUUUGACCUGGACCUCCUCAUCCCUUUGGAUGCUCAGAAUCCUGCCAGGAGUAUGUAUAGAGUCAAGAUUCAAACCCAGGUCCUCUAACACUGGAGGAUCUCUCCCUUUGGUGAUCUCUGGGUUCAACUGGCAUCUACUUUAACAACAUGAUCAACAGCCCAAUGAUAACAACAAAAUGCCAUAGUGAUGACUUCUUGUUGUUCAGUCAUGUUCCAACUCUUUGUGUCCUCAGUGGAGCAUGCCAGGCCUACUGUCCAUUAGAUUUUCUCGGCAAAGAUACUAGAAUGGUUUGCCAUUUCCUUCUCCGGUGGAUCACCUUUCAUCAGGACUCUCCACUAUGGCCUGUCUUGGGUAGCUCUGCACAUAGCUCAUAGUUCCAUUGAGCCAUGCAAGCCCCUCUGACAUGACAAGGCAGUGAUCCAGGAGGAGGAAGGGAUGAUGACUGUUGUUGUUGUUCAGUCAUUUCAGACUCUCUGUGCUCCCAUUUUGGGGUUUUCUUGGCAGAAAUACUGGUGUGGUUUGCCAUUUCCUUCUCUAGCUCAUUUUACAGAUGGGGAAACUGAGGCAAACAAGGUUAAGUGACUUGCCCAGGGUCACACAGCUGGGAUGUGUUUGAGUCCAGAUUUGAGCUCUGUGCACGAUGGUGCCCCCAGUGGCCCUUUAAAGCCCAAGGGACAAUGACCACAUGAUGACAAAAUAACAGUAUGAUGAUAGCACAAUAACAAUUACACCACGGUACGAUGAUGACAACACCACAAUGAUGACAACAAUGCAACACAAGGAUGGUCAAGAUGCCACUGUGACAGUGCUGACCACAUCACAACAGCAGCGACAGCUCACACUUAUGUAGCACUUCAAGUCUUCCAAGCGUCUUACAUCAUUUCACUGGAUUUCAUGAAUAUUCUCUCAAUCCUCAAAGAUAGUCUGUAGACCUUUUUACACAUUUCAUGUUGAUUUCUCUGUGUGCCUGAUAUUUCCUCCCAGUGACAAAUAGGUUCCUUAGAAGGCAAGACUUGUUUUGUUUCUGUCUUGGCAAUCUCUCAAUACCUAGAACCACACCUGGUCUGGAGUAGGUAUUUUACUUAAAUGUACAAUGUUCUCCUGGUUCUGCUCAUUUCACUCUGCAUCAGUUCAUGUAAGCCUUCCCAGGUUUUUCUGAAAUCUGCCUGCUCAUCAUUUCUUAUAGCACAACAGUAUUCCAUUACAUCCAUGUACCACAACUUGUUCAGCCAUUCCUCAAUCGAUGGGCAUCCCCUCAAUUUCCAGUAAAAUAGAUUACACAAUGUAUAGAAGCAAAUGAACACAGCAACUUAAUGUUUGAUUAACGAAGCUAUUGGGACAAGAGACAAGCUAUUUGACAAAAAAUGCUGGGAAAACUGGAAAGCAGUCUGGCAGAAAUUAGGCAUAGACCAACAUCUGACACCAUGUACUAAGAUAAACUCAAAAUGGGUGCACGAUUUAGACAUAAAAGACGAUAUGAGAAAAUUAGGGAAGUACAGAAAAAAUUACCCAUCAGACCUGUGAAUAGAAGAAGAAUUAAUGAGCAAAUAAGAGGUAAAGAGGGAUAAUUGGAGGUAAAAUGGAUAAUUUUGAUUACAUAAAAUUAAAAAGUUUUUGCACAAACAAAACCCAUACAGUCAAAAUUAGAGGAAAAUCAGGAAAGGGGAGAUUUUUUUAAAUAGCAAAUUUUUCUGAUAAAGAUUUUAUUUAUCAAAUAUAUAGGGAACUGAUCCAAGUUUAUAAAAAAAAAAUAGUCACUCCCCAUUUGAUAAGUGGCCAAAGGAUAUGAAUAGGUGAUUUUCAAAGGAAGAAAUCUAAGCUAUCAAUAAUUACAUAAAAUGCUGUAAGUCAUUAAUAAUCAGAGAAGUGCAAAUUAAAAACAACACUGAGACAUUACCUUAUACCCAUCAGGUUGGCCAAGAUGACAGAAAUGAAAAUGACAAAUGCUGGAGGAGAUGUGGGAAUAUAGGUAUGCUAAUGCACUGUUAGUAGAGAUGUGAACCGGUCCAACGAUUCUGCAGAACAACUUGGAACUAUGCCCAAAGGGCUUUAAAACUGUGCAUACCCUUUGACUAAUCAAUGCCACUACUAGGUCUGUAUCCCAAAGAGAUCAAACUCUCAGAUGUACAAAAAUAUUCAUAGUAACUCUUUUUGUGGUGGCAAAGAAUUGGAAAUCGAGGAGAUACUCUUCAAUUGGGGAAUGGCUCAACAUGUUAUGACAUAUGAAUGUAAUGAUUCCGUCACUAUUUGCUAUAAGAAAUGAUGAAGGGAAUGGCUUCAGGAAAACCUGGGAGGACUUUUUGAAACUGAUCAGAACCAGGAGAGCGAUGGACACAGUAACAACAAUAUUGAAAAGACUGAGCAACUUUGAUCACGAUAAAGAUCCAUGGUAGUUUCAAAGGACUCACGAUACAAAAUGCUAUCCACCUCCAGAUAUAGAACUGCCAGACUCAGAGUGCAGACUGAGACAUAUUUUUUUCUUUAUUUUUCUUGCCUCUUUUCUUUUCUUUUUUAGAACAUGGCUAAUGUGGAAAUAUGUUUUUUCAUGACAUCAUACAUAAAUGGGUAUAUUUCUUGCCUUCUCAAUGGUGGGGGAGGGGGUGGAAGAAGGGAGAGAAUUUGGAACAAAAAAUUAAAAUAAAAAAACAAAAAAAUAUUUGGAGAGUUCA